AACGAACGCUGGCGGCGUGCCUAACACAUGCAAGUCGAGGGAGAAAGCCCGCAAGGGUGAGUAAACCGGCGAACGGGUGCGUAACACGUGGAUAAUCUACCUUCCUGACUGGGACAACUGGCCGAAAGGCUUGCUAAUACCAGAUAAGCCCACGGCGUCUUUGGACGCUGGAAGGGAAAAGGUGGCCUCUGCAUGCAAGCUAUCACAGGGAGAUGAGUCCGCGGCCCANCAGCUAGUUGGACGGGGUAAAGCCCACCAAGGCUACGACGGGUAGCUGGUCUGAGAGGAUGAUCAGCCACAC
rnacentral:rRNA from 1 species